GAUGAACGCUGGCGGCGUGCUUAACACAUGCAAGUCGAGCGGAAAGGCCAUGAUUUUGCGGGGUGCAUGAGUGGCGAACGGGUGAGUAACACGCGAGUAACCUGCCCUUGUAAUUGGGAUAAAAUCAGGAAACUGGGGCUAAUACCGGAGAGGAGAUCCUGCUGCACGGUGGGGGUAGGAAAGUUACGGCGGUUGGGGCUGGUCUAGCGGGUUAUCAGCUAGUUGGGGGGGUAGGGGCUUACAAGGUCUUCGACGGGUAGCCGGCCUGGGAGGUUGGCCGGCCACAUUGCUCCUGCGGUACGGCCCAGUCGCCAACGGGAGGCAGCAGUGGGGAGUAUUGCACAAUGGGCGGAAGCCUGAUGCAGCAGCCCCGCGUUCGUGAUGACGGCCUUCUGGUUGUAAACCGCUUUCUCCUGUGACGAAGCGUGAGUGACGGUAAUGGGUAAGAAAGCACCGGCUAACUACGUG
rnacentral:rRNA from 1 species